AGUAGACCUCCUUCUAAAAUAAUACACUACCUACGAGCAUACUAAUUUUUGAAGGUCUUCAGACUUCGGGAACCCUCCGCAACGUACGCAUUUUCAAAACUAAUAGGAUGCUUUGAUCGAUAAUAAUACAAAUCUAUCAGCGGCAUGUACCAAAUGUUUUACCUAUAUAAUAUCACGUUCUAAGGUAUGGCGAUAUUGAAUAUAAUGAGUGAAGGAUGUAAAUUUUUAUUGUAUGUUUAUCUGCAUACCCCUUUGUAUCGAACUUCCUAUGACAUCGUUUGUCAUAGCUGUGCAAUCUGUACAGGUUUCCUAUCUAAAUGGAUAGCAAUAAAUAAAACUCCUCCUCGAAACCGUUCGAUAGUCAGUUGCGAAGAAAAUGGAGGCUCAAGGUGCGGCCAUCAUCUUUGGCCCAUUGCAGACGGCCUAUGGUAAAUACGCCACAUAUCUAUCACACGUUUAACCAUAUAUUUGUAGAACGAGAACUCCGAACAUAUCUCAAACAAAAAUAUGGAUCUGAAAAUGUUGCUAUUUUACGGGGUCGGGGGGUAAUCCCUGACUCCGUAAAGAUAGAGGAAGGUAGCUUCCUGGGGCGGAGGUUCCAGGUCUUUAAGGACCUGGAACUACAAAACACGUACUGGGUGUUUUAUAUCGAGAAAUGUGCAAUCAUUUUUGCGAGGAGUCGAGAACAAGAAACUACUAUUAUUUUCGGCGGGAUAAACCCAGCGAGGUAUAAAACCACCAUGUAUUACGUUUUAAUUAUAUAUACCUAUGUGUAGAACGGAGCGGGGGAUUUCCAAUUAUGAAUAACAAUGCUGUCAUUAAAAUGGGCGUUGCUGACGUCGAGGCUCUCUUCGACGCAAAUUUUAUGUAAGUAGAGUAAGCGCUUUAAUUGUAAUAAUAAACUUCAAAUCACUAUUUCCGCUGUAAAUAAAAACACCCUACAUUUUGUUUGUUGUUUUUUCCCUGCCCACUCCUGUUCUGGUUAUAGGGAACCUACCUCCGAUAUGGAAUUAUAGGUAAGAAUGAGGGUCCUCGCACCUGUCUCCUGAAAUUACAAUUUCCUACCCUAGUCGCAUCAAUCUAAUAGAGGGAGUCGGAUGAAAAUAUACCUCUAUAUGCAUUACGACGCCAAUAGAUGGCGCCUCCGUAUCAAAUCGCUAUUUCAGCUCUAAAUAAAAACGCUCUACAUUUUGUUUUUGUUGUUUUAUUUCCCUCCCCGCCCCUGUUCUGGUUGUAGGUUAGAAUGGGGCCCCCUUGUGUAUGUCUCUCAAAUGGGGGAGCUACCUCCGAGAUGGAAUGAUAGGUUAGAAUUCUCCUCCCUUGCAUCUCUCUCCUGAACCACUGGAUAGUUCACAUGUUUGCUAUUGUACAAAUGUAUACACGGCCGACUUUAUUCGUAAAUUUCUAACGCAAGAAGUCAAAAUUGCAGUUUCCUAUACGUUAGAUGCGUAUCAUUUUGACGCCACCAAAUAGCCCCUAGCCCCUAUCGGGUUUUUUCCCUGCCCACUCCUGUUCUAGUUAUAGGGAACCUACCUCCGAGAUGGAAUUAUAGGUUAGAAUGAGGGUCCUCGCACCUGUCUCCUGAAAUUACAAUUUCCUACCCUAUACCUAUAUGUCACAUCAAUCUAAUAGAGGGAGUCGAUUGAAAAUAUACCUCUAUAUGCAUUACGACGCCAAUAGAUGGCACCUCCGUACCAUUUAAUAUAUCUAUGAUUUAAUAAUAUUUAGAGGUUCGUUAUAAAUACAACUAUCGAAGCAUUAUAUCAUACAAGUCUAGUUAGCCUAGUGGUUAUGCUAUAGGACUUGUAAUCCGAUGGUUGGCGGUUCGAAUCCGUUCCAUUUAAAAA